GGAAGGAGUAAAGCCGGGGACCGCAAGGCCUGGCACUUCGCGAUAAGCCCGCGGCCUAUCAGCUAGUUGGCGGGGUAAAAGCCCACCAAGGCUAAGACGGGUAUCUGGUCUGAGAGGACGACCAGCCACACUGGAACUGAGACACGGUCCAGACACCUACGGGUGGCAGCAGUCGAGAAUUUUUCACAAUGGGCGCAAGCCUGAUGGAGCGACGCCGCGUGGGGGAUGAAGGGCUUCGGCUCGUAAACCCCUGUCAUUUGCGAACAAGGGCGCCAACCUAACAUGUUGUCGCUUGAUAGUAGCAGAAGAGGAAGGGACGGCUAACUCUGUGCCAGCAGCCGCGGUAAUACAGAGGUCCCAAGCGUUGUUCGGAUUCACUGGGCGUAAAGGGUGCGUAGGUGGCGAUUUAAGUCGGGUGUGAAAUCUCCGGGCUCAACCCGGAGGGUGCGCCCGAAACUGAGUUGCUAGAGGAUGGGAGGGGAGACUGGAAUUCUCGGUGUAGCAGUGAAAUGCGUAGAUAUCGAGAGGAACACCGGG
rnacentral:rRNA from 1 species